CUUCAGUAUGGAUGAUGGAUGAAAAUAGGUUAUGUUCAUUUUUAUUUAGGUUAUGUGUACAUUUUCUCGACAUCGUACCGUCACGACUGAACUGUAAUCGGAGGUAGAGAUUGUAGAGAACAUUCAGGGAAAGUGGUGGUAUAAUAAAUUGACACACCUACACGAUAGUCACGCGCAACUUCGUUGUUUUUCUUAUAAAUAAUUGAUAAAUCGCGUUUCUCGUUUAAACAAGAGCUAAGAGUCAUACUACAAGCUAAAAUGUCGACUGCAGCUGAACCGUCUGAAUUGCAGGUGUUUAAAACGGUGUUUUUUCACUGCAUUGUUAUAAUCGUGAUGCCGGUUCUUUCAUUUUUCACUUCGAAAAUAUUCAUUUUCGACGGACUUCUAAAUUUGAACACCGUUCCAAGCAAUGUCUACGCAGCAGGGGUUUCAAUCAUCGUGCUCCACACUGCUUUAGGUGCUUUCAUUUACAGAGCAUACUUCGACUCUCAACCUAAAGUGCAAGUGAAGAUAGAUUAGUUAAGUUUGUAUUUCAAUUUUUGUCACAAGAAUUCAUCCCGCGGCAAGUACUAUGUAUAAUAAAGUUUUCAGUAUGCAACAGCAAUACAGGGUAAAUCUUUUCAAGUGUCGAAUCGAUUCGAGAUAAUCUGACAAGAUUAACUAAACACGAUGUGCCUUUGCAUUAACACAUCGACUCUGAGCUUCGACACUUGUAUGGUUUCACUCUGUAACAUUAUUUAACAGAAUCAGUUACUGUAUUAUUUGUUUACAACAGAGACUAGAAUUCUCUAAAUCUAAUGACAAGGAAUCACAUGGAUCAAUAUAACACCAUACAGGGAUUCUAUUAGGCUUUUAAGGAUCUACUUCUGUUAAUACUGUGAAUAGAUUAGAAAUUAAAUUUCUUUUGUAUUUACUAAAAAGAAAUUACGGAAAUUAUAUACCGAUUCUACCAAUCCUGGUACAGUGGUAUCGACUUCUCUAUUUUUAGAAACAAAAGACAGUAUAGAAAAUAUUAAUAAUUGAAAUUUAAU